rnacentral:rRNA from 1 species
UUGAUAGUACCUUACUACUUGGAUAACCGUGGUAAUUCUAGAGCUAAUACAUGCUAAAAACCCCAACUUCGGGAGGGGUGUAUUUAUUAGAUAAAAAACCAAUGCCCUUCGGGGCUCCUUGGUGAUUCAUGAUAACUUCUCAGAUCGCAUGGCUUUACGCCGGCGACGGUUCAUUCAAAUUUCUGCCCUAUCAACUUUCGAUGGUAAGGUAGUGGCUUACCAUGGUUUCAACGGGUAACGGGGAAUUAGGGUUCGAUUCCGGAGAGGGAGCCUGAGAAACGGCUACCACAUCCAAGGAAGGCAGCAGGCGCGCAAAUUACCCAAUUCCGAUACGGAGAGGUAGUGACAAUAAAUACUGAUACAGGGCUCUUUUGGGUCUUGUAAUUGGAAUGAGUACAAUUUAAACCUCUUAACGAGGAACAAUUGGAGGGCAAGUCUGGUGCCAGCAGCCGCGGUAAUUCCAGCUCCAAUAGCGUAUAUUAAAGUUGUUGCAGUUAAAAAGCUCGUAGUUGAACCUUUGGCCUGGCUGGCAGGUCCGCCUCACCGCGUGCACUUGUCCGGCCGGGCCUUUUCUUCUGGAGAACCGCAUGCCCUUCACUGGGUGUGUUGGGGACCAGGACUUUUACUUUGAAAAAAUUAGAGUGUUCAAAGCAGGCCUUUGCUCGAAUACGUUAGCAUGGAAUAAUAGAAUAGGACGUGCGGUCCUAUUUUGUUGGUUUCUAGGACCGCCGUAAUGAUUAAUAGGGACAGUCGGGGGCAUCAGUAUUCAAUUGUCAGAGGUGAAAUUCUUGGAUUUAUUGAAGACUAACUACUGCGAAAGCAUUUGCCAAGGAUGUUUUCAUUAAUCAGUGAACGAAAGUUAGGGGAUCGAAGACGAUCAGAUACCGUCGUAGUCUUAACCAUAAACUAUGCCGACUAGGGAUCGG